rnacentral:rRNA from 1 species
CCUUUGCAAUGAAAUCGAGUAGGACGGGGCACGAGAAACCUUGUCUGAAUAUGGGGGGACCAUCCUCCAAGGCUAAAUACUACUGACUGACCGAUAGUGAACCAGUACCGUGAGGGAAAGGCGAAAAGAACCGCGGAGAGCGGAGUGAAAUAGAUCCUGAAACCGUAUGCGUACAAGCAGUGGGAGCCCACUUUGUUGGGUGACUGCGUACCUUUUGUAUAAUGGGUCAGCGACUUAUUUUCAGUGGCGAGCUUAACCGAAUAGGGGAGGCGUAGCGAAAGCGAGUCUUAAUAGGGCGUCUAGUCGCUGGGAAUAGACCCGAAACCGGGCGAUCUAUCCAUGGGCAGGUUGAAGGUUGGGUAACACUAACUGGAGGACCGAACCGACUACCGUUGAAAAGUUAGCGGAUGACCUGUGGAUCGGAGUGAAAGGCUAAUCAAGCUCGGAGAUAGCUGGUUCUCCUCGAAAGCUAUUUAGGUAGCGCCUCAUGUAUCACUGUAGGGGGUAGAGCACUGUUUCGGCUAGGGGGUCAUCCCGACUUACCAAACCGAUGCAAACUCCGAAUACCUACAAGUGCCGAGCAUGGGAGACACACGGCGGGUGCUAACGUCCGUCGUGAAAAGGGAAACAACCCAGACCGUCAGCUAAGGUCCCAAAGUCAUGGUUAAGUGGGAAACGAUGUGGGAAGGCUUAGACAGCUAGGAGGUUGGCUUAGAAGCAGCCACCCUUUAAAGAAAGCGUAAUAGCUCACUAGUCGAGUCGGCCUGCGCGGAAGAUGUAACGGGGCUCAAACCAUGCACCGAAGCUACGGGUAUCAUCUUUUGAUGAUGCGGUAGAGGAGCGUUCUGUAAGCCUGUGAAGGUGAGUUGAGAAGCUUGCUGGAGGUAUCAGAAGUGCGAAUGCUGACAUGAGUAACGACACUGGGUGUGAAAAACACCCACGCCGAACGACCAAGGUUUCCUGCGCAACGUUAAUCGACGCAGGGUUAGUCGGUCCCUAAGGCGAGGCUGAAAAGCGUAGUCGAUGGAAAACAGGUUAAUAUUCCUGUACUUCUGGUUAUUGCGAUGGAGGGACGGAGAAGGCUAGGCCAGCCUGGCGUUGGUUGUCCAGGUUUAAGGUGGUAGGCUGAGAUCUUAGGUAAAUCCGGGAUCUUAAGGCCGAGAGCUGAUGACGAGUGUUCUUUAGAACACGAAGUGGUUGAUGCCAUGCUUCCAAGAAAAGCUUCUAAGCUUCAGGUAACCAGGAACCGUACCCCAAACCGACACAGGUGGUUGGGUAGAGAAUACCAAGGCGCUUGAGAGAACUCGGGUGAAGGAACUAGGCAAAAUGGCACCGUAACUUCGGGAGAAGGUGCGCCGGUGAGGGUGAAGCAUUUACUGCGUAAGCCCACGCCGGUCGAAGAUACCAGGCCGCUGCGACUGUUUAUUAAAAACACAGCACUCUGCAAACACGAAAGUGGACGUAUAGGGUGUGACGCCUGCCCGGUGCCGGAAGGUUAAUUGAUGGGGUUAGCGCAAGCGAAGCUCUUGAUCGAAGCCCCGGUAAACGGCGGCCGUAACUAUAACGGUCCUAAGGUAGCGAAAUUCCUUGUCGGGUAAGUGCCGACCUGCACGAAUGGCGUAACGAGGGCGGCGCUGUCUCCACCCGAGACUCAGUGAAAUUGAAAUCGCUGUGAAGAUGCAGUGUAUCCGCGGCUAGACGGAAAGACCCCGUGAACCUUUACUAUAGCUUUGCACUGGACUUUGAAUUUGCUUGUGUAGGAUAGGUGGGAGGCUUUGAAGCGUGGACGCCAGUCUGCGUGGAGCCAACCUUGAAAUACCACCCUGGCAACUUUGAGGUUCUAACUCAGGUCCGUUAUCCGGAUCGAGGACAGUGUAUGGUGGGUAGUUUGACUGGGGCGGUCUCCUCCUAAAGAGUAACGGAGGAGUACGAAGGUGCGCUCAGACCGGUCGGAAAUCGGUCGUAGAGUAUAAAGGCAAAAGCGCGCUUGACUGCGAGACAGACACGUCGAGCAGGUACGAAAGUAGGUCUUAGUGAUCCGGUGGUUCUGUAUGGAAGGGCCAUCGCUCAACGGAUAAAAGGUACUCCGGGGAUAACAGGCUGAUACCGCCCAAGAGUUCAUAUCGACGGCGGUGUUUGGCACCUCGAUGUCGGCUCAUCACAUCCUGGGGCUGAAGCCGGUCCCAAGGGUAUGGCUGUUCGCCAUUUAAAGUGGUACGCGAGCUGGGUUUAGAACGUCGUGAGACAGUUCGGUCCCUAUCUGCCGUGGACGUUUGAGAUUUGAGAGGGGCUGCUCCUAGUACGAGAGGACCGGAGUGGACGAACCUCUGGUGUUCCGGUUGUCACGCCAGUGGCAUUGCCGGGUAGCUAUGUUCGGAAAAGAUAACCGCUGAAAGCAUCUAAGCGGGAAACUUGCCUCAAGAUGAGAUCUCACUGGAACCUUGAGUUCCCUAAAGGGCCGUCGAAGACUACGACGUUGAUAGGUUGGGUGUGUAAGCGCUGUGAGGCGUUGAGCUAACCAAUACUAAUUGCCCGUGAGGCUUGACCAUAUAACACCCAAGCAAUU